UCCACGUUCACUUCCUGUCAAAGCUACAUCUCGUUCUCCUUCAGCCUCCAGGAUGUCACAGCCAUCACGGAGUGGUCUGCUCUCGCCGCAAUAUUGUGUCUUGGCCUUUGCACUGGAUUGCUUAGUUUACAGUAUUUGUUUGGGUCCCUCCCUGUGUUGUUGGGAAAUCUUCAGUCCUGGAUUUCUUAUCAGCCCAGGCAAUACCAGAAACCCAGCCCCAGGGACCAGUGAGAUGAGGCGGUGGGACAUCCUGGGAGUGGGGGGUCUUUUACCCUCGGUGGACUAAAAGUCCUGGAUGAGCCCCCAGAUUGCUGAGAAAGGAUUGGGGCUUCAGAUCAGGAAACCACUACUCAAAUUGAACCCGGACUAGACAAUUUUACUCCUACUCGUGAAGGUGCUCAGCCAUCCCAAAACAGAAGAGCAAGCCACCCAGUGGAAAUGGCUCCUGACAUUUACUCCUAAAGCAAGAGGGAGCUGGCUGCUCCUGACUGACUGAGGUUUAACCUUAGAAUCUAUACCCUGGCCUGGAAGAGGAAGGGGAGGCCUGGUUAUCUGGACAAGCAGGUGGCUGAGGGAGGAAAGAACGCCUGCCCAGUGGAGAGGAAGCACGCUCAGCUGCCUGCCAGACCCACUGAUGGGGAAAGCUGGAGCACUCUGAUCAGAACUGGACCUCUUGCCAAGGGAAGUCUUGGGGCUCGCUUUGGAAGGUUGGGAUGGUGGGUAGCAGAGAUCAUCGCAGCCUCCCACCACGACCACUGUACACCCCUAAUCAGACUCUCGCCAUCCUCAGAACAGGAUGGUGGCAUCAGGGAAUGCAUAGCAGAUUCAGUGGAGGGCAGAAGGGAGAGAUGAGCCACCUGCCUUCUCAUCUCCCUCAAGAAACAGCUGCCCGAGGUCUCCAGGCUGGCAGUAAACAGGAUGCCGCUCCAGCCACACCUCUCGCUGAACGUGAGCCCACCAACUCCCAGCUCUCCUCUCUCCCAGGUCGUCCCGUGUCAGCCGGAAGCAGCCAGAUUUGAACUGGUGCUCCUUUAUCCAAGGAGUCUAAAAUGUUUGAUUGAGGGGCUUCACCUCAGCUCACUGGCACCCCCUUAUCCAAAAUGCCUGGAAUGGUAAAAAAGUGUCACCCCAACUCCCUAACACACCUUUAUACAAAAAGUCUGGAUUGUUUGCCUGGGGGCGUCAUCUGGCCCCAUGAAGGGUCAUAAAGCCCACCAAUGGCAACCUCUCCCCAGGGAAGGUCAAGACCACUCCCACAGGCUAUUUAAACUGCACCCCCCAUGAACACGUGGUCUCCAGGUUUCACUGGUCUCCCUUUUCCUCUCUUCCCCUCUCCAUGCUUUCCCGGGGCCACCUGGGAGCAUUGCUUUAAACAUGGGCGUCUUUUAUUUGGUCUAAUUCGGUCUGAUUGGAAUUAUUUGCAUCGGCGGAGAGGCUAAAA